UAGAAAGUUACUCGGUACAUCGGUGACAGUGGUGCAUGGUUGUCGUCAGCUCGUGUCGUGAGAUGUUGGGUUAAGUCCCGCAACGAGCGCAACCCCUAUUGUUAGUUGCCAUCAUUCAGUUGGGCACUCUAGCGAGACUGCCGGUAAUAACCGGAGAAGUGGGAUGACGUCAAAUCAUCAUGCCCCUUAUGACCUGGGCUACACACGUGCUACAAUGGUUGGUACAACGAGUUGCGAGUCGGUGACGGCGAGCUAAUCUCUUAAAGCCAAUCUCAGUUCGGAUUGUAGGCUGCAACUCGCCUACAUGAAGUCGGAAUCGCUAGUAAUCGCGGAUCAGCACGCCGCGGUGAAUACGUUCCCGGGCCUU
rnacentral:rRNA from 1 species